UUGGCCGCCGCUCUGGUUCUCGCCGCCGCCGCCCCUCAGGAGCCUCGGCCAAUCGAGAUCCUCCUCGACGAGCGCGUCCCUCCCGAGGGCGGCGCUUACUCCUUCAAGAUCGAGACCGAGAACGGGAUCGUCCAGAGCGAGGAGGGCGCCCCAGGCCUGGAGGGCCAGACCAACGUUCAGGGUGUCUUUAGUUUCCCCCUGGAAGACGGCAGCAUCGCCCAAGUCCGGUACCAAGCUGACGAGAACGGCUUCCAGGCCCAGUCCCCUCUGCUGCCCGUCGCCCCCGAGUUCCCUCACCCCAUCCCGCAGUUCGUACUCGACCAGAUCGCUUUUGCCGAGGAGCAGGAUCGCCUCGAAGCUCAAGGUCAAAUUCUCAGUGAGCAACUGCAGCAGUGAAAUCUUUUCGCGUUCCUGUGAUUUAAUCCUCUAACCGUUCGCCGGUUUUUCUUGACUAGUAGUUUCUUGUCACGUCGUUAGCUCCGUGACGGGAUUGCAUGUAGAGUCAAUAGAUGAUCACAUAAUUAU